GUCAGUAGUAGCUCAGUGGUUAAACUGUUGAACUACCACUCAGAAGGUCACGAGUUCAAAUCCCUGUUCUGCUU